GAGGGAAAGUUGAAAAGGACUCUGAAGAGAGGGUUCAAGAGAGCGUGAAACUGCCACGGGGAUAAAGCGGAUACAUUUGCGUAGUCGAAAAGGUAGAAACCGCUGUGCUUCGCGCCGCCUCCUAGAUUGUAUAGUGGUCGGUAAGGUCCUCUAGUAGGAUUCAUAGCCUUCUUGCUUUACGUAUCUGGGAUGAGCGAGUGCCGGUACUAGUCUAGUUCAUACCUUAGUAGGCCGUCGCGACGGUUGGAGAGUUGUCUAAGGCUCGAAAGUUAUUGGGAACCUUUUGGGAUUGCUUUUUACCCUUUAGGGUGAUUAUGCUUUUUCGAAGGGGGACGCUUUCUUGAAUUUACUGGCGGACUUUCCGACCGGAGAAAUAAACUUUUUUUCUCGAAAGAGAUUGAGAGUAAGUGCGGCGCUAAAGCGAUCAAUGUAUCCGUCCCGUCUUGAAACACGGACCAAGGAGUCUAACAUGCGAGCGAGUCAAAGGGUCUACUAAACCCCUAGGCGAAAUGAAAGUGAAUGGAUCGAUCCGUGCUCCCUUAGGGGACCGGCGCAGAUCCGGGACCCGUCUUACUGCUCUUCUCUCUCGAGAGAGGUGUUCAAGUGGCGGGUACCUUGAGCUCGUACGUUGGGACCCCA
rnacentral:rRNA from 1 species